UUCUCUUUUCUUAAAAUCAAAGGUGAUAGCCUAGUAGUAGUAUGACCUCUCCCUUUACCCUGAAAGCUUUGGGAUUUGAGUCUAUCCUAGGGAUGAAAAUUGGUUUGGUUCUAGGUUGGUUCGCCUGUGAACCGGUUAGAAACGGGCCAGUUCAGUAAAUUUAAAGGACAAUCAUAUCAUAGACAUUCCACUAAAAUUAUAUGGAAUCAAGGUUAUUUACUCUCUGACAUUCCAC
rnacentral:lncRNA from 1 species